rnacentral:rRNA from 1 species
AAUAGAUACCCGGGUAGUCCACGCCGUAAACGAUGAGUGCUAAGUGUUAGAGGGUUUCCGCCCUUUAGUGCUGCAGCUAACGCAUUAAGCACUCCGCCUGGGGAGUACGGUCGCAAGACUGGAACUCAAAGGAAUUGACGGGGGCCCGCACAAGCGGUGGAGCAUGUGGUUUAAUUCGAAGCAACGCGAAGAACCUUACCAGGUCUUGACAUCCUCUGACAACUCUAGAGAUAGAGCGUUCCCCUUCGGGGGACAGAGUGACAGGUGGUGCAUGGUUGUCGUCAGCUCGUGUCGUGAGAUGUUGGGUUAAGUCCCGCAACGAGCGCAACCCUUGAUCUUAGUUGCCAGCAUUUAGUUGGGCACUCUAAGGUGACUGCCGGUGAUAAACCGGAGGAAGGUGGGGAUGACGUCAAAUCAUCAUGCCCCUUAUGACCUGGGCUACACACGUGCUACAAUGGAUGGUACAAAGGGCUGCAAGACCGCGAGGUCAAGCCAAUCCCAUAAAACCAUUCUCAGUUCGGA